rnacentral:rRNA from 1 species
GUGGGGAAUAUUGCGCAAUGGGGGCAACCCUGACGCAGCAACGCCGCGUGCAGGAAGAAGGUCUUCGGAUUGUAAACUGUUGUCGCAAGGGAAGAAGACAGUGACGGUACCUUGUGAGAAAGUCACGGCUAACUACGUGCCAGCAGCCGCGGUAAUACGGAGGGGGCAAGCGUUAUCCGGAUUUACUGGGUGUAAAGGGAGCGCAGACGGCACUGCAAGUCUGAAGUGAAAGCCCGGGGCUCAACCCCGGGACUGCUUUGGAAACUGUAGAGCUAGAGUGCUGGAGAGGCAAGCGGAAUUCCUAGUGUAGCGGUGAAAUGCGUAGAUAUUAGGAAGAACACCAGUGGCGAAGGCGGCUUGCUGGACAGUAACUGACGUUCAGGCUCGAAAGCGUGGGGAGCAAACAGGAUUAGAUACCCGAGUAGUCC